UACGGGGGGGGCAAGCGUUGUUCGGAAUUACUGGGCGUAAAGGGCUCGUAGGUGGCCAACUAAGUCGGACGUGAAAUCCCUCAGCUUAACUGGGGAACUGCGUCCGAUACUGGAUGGCUUGAGUUUGGGAGAGGGAUGCGGAAUUCCAGGUGUAGCGGUGAAAUGCGUAGAUAUCUGGAGGAACACCGGUGGCGAAGGCGGGUCUCUGGGCCGUAACUGACGCUGAGGAGCGAAAGCGUGGGGAGCGAACAGG
rnacentral:rRNA from 1 species